rnacentral:rRNA from 1 species
AUACGGAGGGAGCAAGCGUUGUUCGGAAUUACGGGGCGUAAAGGGCGCGUAGGCCGCCUUGUAAGUCGAGUGUGAAAGGCCGGGGCUCAACUCCGUGCACUGCAUUCGAUACUGCUUGGCUAGAGAGAGGUAGAGGCGAGCGGAAUUCCCGGUGUAGCGGUGGAAUGCGUAGAUAUCGGGAAGAACAUCUGCGGCGAAGGCGGCUCGCUGGGCCUCAUCUGACGCUGAAGCGCGAAAGCGUGGGGAGCAAACAGGAUUAGAAACCCCAGUAGUCC